GUUGAAACAACUGUUCCCGUACGAUCACCGAAGUUAAGCAAUGUUGAGCCUGGUAAGUACCUAGAGGUGUAACCAUUUGGGAAUACAAUGGUGAUGUA